ensembl:lncRNA
AACACGCCGGAGAGUGAUCAGCCAUGUCAUAAGACAACACUGAAAUCAGACUGAAUCUGUCAUCGGUUCAUAAAUUCAAUCUUUGUCAUUUUUUUCCCCCAGGACUGACCGACACGUAUAUCCACGAAGCCGUGCAUGAACUGGAAAACACUGACGUUUAGCCGAAUAGCUCAUUCAAGACAAAAGCUCCAGCAGGCUGCAACCAACCAACCAACCAACCAACAUGACUACUAGUAAAAACAACCACUCCUCAAUGUGCCCACUGGCUAAACUGACUACAUUCUGAGAGCUUGGUCUUUUCUUUCUUUUAAAACACCAGGACAGAUAGUAUGCUGAGUAAAGCGGCCACUAUGGAGAUCCCUAUCAACCGUAACGGAGACACGAGGACGCUGGCGGAGGAUGACAGCCUUGAACAA